UGUGUGUAUGUAUCAGGAAUUGCCGCAGGAGUUGUUAGAAAUUCACCAAGUAUCAUAGACGUUCAACAGACAGCACGAGUUACUAACGGAAAUAUACAAAUCACAAGUCAAGUCAAACAUUCUACGUCACAACCAAUACUAUCUAGCACAGUAGAGAAUGACGUCACAACUUACAACUCACAUCGUCAGCCAUGUACCCCAGAAGAAAUUCAGCAUCAGGCGUGUCUGAACAAUGGAACCUGCUUUGUUUUGUUGAUAGAAGGACGAACUACACAUUGUCUAUGCAGAACUCAUUAUUAUGGAUCCAGAUGUUAUUACUAUUAUCCGUUUUGUAAGUA